AUGGCCAUUUUCGACGAGUUCUAUGUCGGGUCCAUCAAUCUCGGGUGCCUCAACUAUGUGAUCAUCUCACUCAUCCUGAAGGUUCCUGGCGCCUCCGACAUCCGUAAGUUUCGUCCAAUCACGGUCAUCAACGUGAUUUUUCAGAUUCUGGCAAAAGGGUACGCCAAUAGGGUGGCCCUCCUCGCCGACUAGAUUACCCACCCCAACCAGUCCACCUUCAUUCAAGGGUGGUAUAUCCUGGAUGGUGUUAGUCUUCAUGAAAUCCUCCAUGAUGUGCGAUCUAAACACCUCAAGGAGGUCUUCUUGAAGAUUGAUUUCCAUAAGGCCUACGACACUGUUAGUUGGCCCUUCCUUCGGGAAGUAUUGCUCCGAAAGGGCUUUGACGACCGUUGGAUCUCCAGGGUAAUGCAGAUGGUUUCUUGCGGUCACACUGCCGUGAAUGUCAGGACCCCGACUCAAUGCCACAUCGAUCUAGCAUGUAACACCUCAUAUCACUUUGCGGCCUCACGCACGGUAAUCCCACGGGUGUCGCCUUACUUUUGCCCGGGACCGUUUGCGCCUUUUGGCACACGUAUAUGA
rnacentral:rRNA from 1 species